rnacentral:rRNA from 1 species
AGAAUUCCACGUGUUAGCAGUGAAAUGCGUAGAGAUGUGGAGGAAUACCAAUGGCGAAGGCAGCCCCUGGGAUAAUACUGACGCUCAUGCACGAAAGCGUGGGAGCAAACAGGAUUAGAUACCCUGGUAGUCCACGCCCUAAACGAUGCUGACUAGUUGUUCGGGAAUUUAUUCCUGAGUAACGUAGCUAACGCGUGAAGUCAGCCGCCUGGGGAGUACGGUCGCAAGAUUAAAACUCAAAGGAAUUGACGGGGACCCGCACAAGCGGUGGAUGAUGUGGAUUAAUUCGAUGCAACGCGAAAAACCUUACCUACCCUUGACAUGCCACUAACGAAGUAGAGAUACAUUAGGUGCCCGUAAGGGAAAGUGGACACAGGUGCUGCAUGGCUGUCGUCAGCUCGUGUCGUGAGAUGUUGGGUUAAGUCCCGCAACGAGCGCAACCCUUGUCUUUAGUUGCUACGCAAGAGCACUCUAAAGAGACUGCGGUGACAAACCGGAGGAAGGUGGGGAUGACGUCAAGUCCUCAUGGCCCUUAUGGGUAGGGCUUCACACGUCAUACAAUGGUGCAUACAGAGGGUUGCCAACCCGCGAGGGGGAGCUAAUCUCAGAAAAUGCAUCGUAGUCCGGAUCGUAGUCUGCAACUCGACUACGUGAAGCUGGAAUCGCUAGUAAUCGCGGAUCAGAAUGUCGCGGUGAAUACGUUCCCGGGUCUUGUACACACCGCCCGUCACACCAUGGGAGUGGGUUUUGCCAGAAGCCGUUAGCCUAACCGCAAGGAGGGCGACGACCACGGCAGGGUUCAUGACUGGGGUGAAGUCGUAACAAGGUAGCCGUAUCGGAAGGUGCGGCUGGAUCACCUCCUUUCU